CAGUUUACAGGAUGAGAUGUUUCAGAAGUUCAAUUUUGAUACGGAGUGGGCUAUAAAGCUCAUAUCAAAGAUAACAGAUAACGAGGACAUACCAAUUGAGGGUCGUGCAGUUGUAAAACAGCUUUUGGACCUUCAAGUAAAUGCAGAGAGAUACUUUUUUGGAAUAAGAAAGAGCCUUGUUGAGUUUGAUGAAGUCUUGGAGGU